rnacentral:lncRNA from 1 species
AAUAGGCCAGUGUCAUACUUUAGGAUGCAUGAGCUCUUUAUUGAAGUUUUCGGUCGUAUGUUCUUGAUAUUAAGUGUUAUGGGUUUCACAGUUUUAGGUCUGAAGGUGUUAGUGCUUGUGCUAAUUUAGGUUUAAAGUUUAUAGAGACACGGUAGAUGGUGUUCCAAAACGGCAAACGAUAUUAUCGUGAAGGAUUCUUUAGAUAAUUUCUGUAGCAUUAUUUUCAGAACUUUAUUGCAUAAUAUAGAUCACCUUUUUUAAAAUUUUCCCGUUCUUUGUGUUUUCGGCCCUCGGAUCUGUCGUGUGGUAUUGCACUUCACUCUUUUUUGUUAUUUAUUAGUAUGAUUAUUAUCAGUGGUUGUGAUAUAUUGGUGUUAACGGAAGAAGAAAUAUAAUUUUAGUCGGUUGAUUUUAUGAAUUAGAAUGAAAUUAUUUUCUUCUGAAUUGUCUGCCCAUAGAUGGCGUUUGGGUUAAGUGGUUUGUGUGAUUUGGCGCUUAAAUCAUUCGGUACGACAGGGUCUACUCGAUAGGUCACGUUAAUUUUUACAUCCAUGCUAUUUGAUAUUUUGUAUCAUGCAUUAAGAUAUUGAUUGUUUACAAAUGAUUGUGGGUAUUGAAAUACUAGUGUAUAAAUAUAUAUCUAGCGGGAAGGCUA